CGACCUGAGAGGGUGAUCGGCCACACUGGGACUGAGACACGGCCCAGACUCCUACGGGAGGCAGCAGUAGGGAAUCUUCCGCAAUGGACGAAAGUCUGACGGAGCAACGCCGCGUGAGUGAUGAAGGUUUUCGGAUCGUAAAGCUCUGUUGUUAGGGAAGAACAAGUGCGAGAGUAACUGCUCGCACCUUGACGGUACCUAACCAGAAAGCCACGGCUAACUACGUGCCAGCAGCCGCGGUAAUACGUAGGUGGCAAGCGUUGUCCGGAAUUAUUGGGCGUAAAGGGCUCGCAGGCGGUUUCUUAAGUCUGAUGUGAAAGCCCCCGGCUCAACCGGGGAGGGUCAUUGGAAACUGGGAAACUUGAGUGCAGAAGAGGAGAGUGGAAUUCCACGUGUAGCGGUGAAAUGAGUAGGAUGUGGAGGAACACCAGUGGCGAAGGCGAGCUCUCUGGUCUGUAACUGAC
rnacentral:rRNA from 1 species